AGGGAUAUAGUAUAGAGGUAGUACAGCGGUCUCCAAAACCGUUAGCGGGGGUUCGAUUCCCUCUAUCCCUGC
rnacentral:tRNA from 1 species